rnacentral:lncRNA from 1 species
CUCACACAGCACAGCAGGCCACAGUCUACAGAGUACGCCAGGUAGAGCGGUUAGAGUGGCAGCCGCUGGAGAAAGGGUUAUAGAAACACAUCCCUGACUCUUUGGUUAUGUCCACGUCCUCUGUGUCUCCUUCCCCUUCCCUACUCUCCUUCCUUUCCGCCUCCCUGUCUCCCUUGGAAGUCCCUGUUGUCAGUGCAUUUCAGUGCAUUGACGUGUCCUAAACACUGAUCUCCACACACCUUCUUUUAUCUUCCACCUGAUAGGCAGGCCCCAGACCCCCUUUUUUCCUAGCUUUGUUCUGCCCACACAAGCCCACCUGCUAGUUGGAACCCAGAUACCAUUUUCCUUCAGAACCUCUCUCCCUGUCCUUGGGCAGCAGCAACUGCUCCCAGACCUAACCAGUGCUGACCACCACUGCCC